rnacentral:lncRNA from 1 species
GGCUUUCUCUGUGUAACAGCCCUGACUGUCCUGGAACUCACUAUGUGGACAAGGCUGCCUCCAGAGUUCUGGGAUUAAAGGUGUAUACCACCACCACCUGGCCCUAUAAUUUGUUUUAUGUAUAACAAUACGGUUUGCAUGUUAAAUAACACUGUAAUAGAAUCAUUUGAUAAGGGUUUCAAGAUUUAUUAUUACUAUGUUUUUAAGUUAUAUGUAUAUGUGUACAUGUGUGCACAUUCCCUCAGAGUCCAGAAGAAGACAUCAGAUAUCCUGGAGCUAGAGUUAUAGCCAAUUGUUGGCUACCUGGACUUAAGUGCUAGCAACCCAAUGCAGCCCCUCUACAAGAGCAUUGUGUACUAUGCAUUUAUUUAUUUGUUUGUUUAUUUAUGUAUUUGUUGAGACAGUGUCUCACUAUGUAGCCUUAGAUGGCCUGGCAUGCUCUAUGUAUAUAGACCAGACCUUCAAGUGCUGGGAUUGAAGGUGUGUACCACCAUACCUAGCUUCAUAUAAUUUUGAACAGAAGAAAAAAAAAAGGAGAAAUUUUCAAGUUACAAAAUCCUUCCCUCCAAAGCAUUUUUUUUUUUAAAUCACUUUGUCUAAGUAGGUGUCAGUGUCACAAAGGGACUAAGUCAUGUCUGAUUCCCAUUGUUGUAAUGGUCAAUGGAAUUGGAGAGCAUGGCUUCAAAGAAAGAAAACAUUGGAUUCUUCUGGGCUGCCAGAAUUAUUCUUGCUGUUUCCCCAUAGUAAAAGCUCAAAUUCUCUGAAUUCCCAGGGUUUUGUUUUUUGUUUAUGAAUAACAAUUGAAAUCUUGUUUGUUUGUUUGUUUGUUUGUUUCUGAAGUAGGGCCUUGCUCUGCAGCCUUACCACACCCAUCUAAAAUCUUGAAUUUUAUUAGGAUGAUAUCACAAGGCAGGUUGUGGUAGCUCAUGCUUGAACUUCCAGAGGCUGAGAUGUGAGGAUCAUUGCAAGUUCAAGGCCAUCCUGGGCUAAACAUCAAGACUUAUUUCAAAAAUAAGUAAAUUCACAGCAAUGGUUAAAAGCUCUAUGAAAGAAAGAACUUGGGCUGAUUAGAUGUCUCAGCAGGUAAAAGUGCUUGGUGAAAACCUGGAAAAACAGACAGACAAAUAAAUAAACUAACAAAGUUUGAUCCCUGGGUCCCUAAAUAGAAAGACAAGAGGACCAGCUCCAGAAAAUUUGACCUCCAUGUGCAUAUCAUGGCACUCAGUGUGUAUGCUCACUCACACUGCACACUACAAUAAUAAUAAAAUAAGAACAAGUGAUGGUGAACAGCUGUAAUCCAAUACUUGGGAGAGGAAGGCAGGAAAAAGCAAUCCGAACCAUCCUCAGCAACAGAGGUUUCAAGUCCCUUCUGGCCUUCCUAAGACUCCAUCUCAAACCAAAACAAGAACUUCCUCUGCCAACACAUCUUUCUCAUGGUUAAGUUUCCUUUGGGGCCACUGUCUCUGAUUAUUAUCUUCAGAUUGAUGUCAUCAUGGCAGAAAUAGAAUUUCAUUUGUUCUUAUUUCUGUCUCCCUGUCUGGGCUUUAUGCUGAGCAGUCUAGUGACUGUAACACCUCCAUCCUUGCAUUGUGCCGGAAUUUCACUUAGGAUUUUACAGAUGACAUCAUGGAUAAAGCAAGGCCAGAUGUGGCUCCAGAGAAGACUGCAGUAGCACUUGAGCCAGAUUGAAUCUGUCUCUGUAACAAGGCCCCAGACCUUAGCAGAGCUGACUCCAUGAUGGAAGUGCCAUUCAGGCCAUAAAACUCAGCAUGUAGUCAGCACCACCUGCCAAAAUGAAAACAAAGACCUAAUCCAUCAAUAUCCAUAGUUCUGGGAAAGCCUCUAAAUGUACUAACCUUGCUUUUUGGCUUCUGUAAUUCUGCUUCUGGCUAACUGUUCUUGUUAACCAAAGUCUGUCAACUUAGGAUAUAGUUUUGCACUUAGAAGCUCACUCCGAGAAAGGCUCAGGGCUAUACUAGGAUCCAGAACACCAGGUAUAGUUGUUGGCUGGCUAAUGAAGACUUUCUAUUGUUUAAACCCAGGUCCGAGUAGUCUUCUGUGGUGGAUGGCCCAAAACAGCCUCCUGUCUGUCCCUUUCUAGGAGUACCUGCUGCAGUCCAAGGCUCGAGCCACCCUGCUAGCCUGCCAAGUCGACCCUACUAUUCCAUUUCCUUGAUGGUCAUGGGGACCAGAGGCCAUAUUGUCAACUCAUCAAAAAAAAAAAGUAUUUGUGGGAGACAGGGGCAGGCAGAUCUUUGUGAGUUCAAGUCCAUCCAGGUCUACAAAGCAAGUUUCAGGAGAGCCAGGGUUGUUACACAGAGACACUCUGUCUUGAAAAACAACAACAAAAACAAAAACUAAAAAACAAACCAAAAACAUUUUGUUUGUUUGUUUUGUUUUUUUGAGACAGAGUUUUUCUGGGAACAGCCCCGACUGUCCUGGAACUAGCUCUGUAGACCAGGCUGAUCUCAAGCUCACAGAGAUUAAAGGCAUGUGCCACCUCAUAAUUUAUUCUUUUGCCUCUUAAUCUUGGUGGUCUCUGUUAAUGGAAAACAUUAAAAAGGCAAGGAUGGGACCAGUAGAGUGAAUCAGCUGGUAGAGGUCCCUGCUGCUGAGCCUGACAACCUAAGUGUUUCCCUGGAACCCAUAUGGUGGGACGGAAGAACAAUUCCUACAGGGGCUGGAGAGAUAGAUGGCUCAGAGGUUAAGAGCACUGACUGCUCUUCCGGAGGUCCUGAGUUCAAUUCCCAGCAACCACAUGGUGGUUCACAACCAUCCGUUUUGAGAUCUGGUGCC